UACGGGAGGCAGCAGUGGGGAAUAUUGGACAAUGGGCGAAAGCCUGAUCCAGCCAUGCCGCAUGAGUGAAGAAGGCCUUCGGGUUGUAAAGCUCUUUUAGUGAGAAAGAUAAUGACGGUACUCACAGAAGAAGUCCUGGCUAACUCCGUGCCAGCAGCCGCGGUAAUACGGAGGGUGCUAGCGUUAAUCAGAAUUACUGGGCGUAAAGAGCACGUAGGUGGUUUUUUAAAGUCAGAUGUGAAAUCCCUGGGCUUAACCUAGGAACUGCAUUUUGAAACUGAAAUACUAGAGUAUCGUAGAGGGAGGUAGAAUUCUAGGUGUAGCGGUGAAAUGCGUAGAUAUCUGGAGGAAUACCUGUGGCGAAAGCGGCCUCCUAAACGAUACUGACACUGAGGGUGCGAAAGCGUGGGGAGCAAACAGGGAUUAGAUACC
rnacentral:rRNA from 1 species